rfam:Monodelphis domestica chromosome 6, whole genome shotgun sequence.
AAACAGGUUUUUCUCAAAACCAAAGAGUAAAUUCAAUGUAAUAAUA